rnacentral:lncRNA from 1 species
GCUGAACUAGGUGAUUGAAACUUUAAUAGUGAAAGAUGAUGCAUCGUAUCACUCAAUUAGACUUUAUUUUAUCAUGAAGAGCAUAAAUUAUUUGAAGUCAUUGAUUCCAUACUGAUGAUUUAAUGAAUUUCUAGAAUUCUAAUUACGAUUUUUCCUGAUUUUAAUAUUAUAUCACCUCAUUUUAUGUUAUUAUUGCUAUAUACAAAGAUAUAAACAUACAUCAUAUU